AUUGAACGCUGGCGGCAGGCCUAACACAUGCAAGUCGAACGAGUGGCGGACGGGUGAGUAAUGUCUGGGAAACUGCCUGAUGGAGGGGGAUAACUACUGGAAACGGUAGCUAAUACCGCAUACCAUCAGAUGUGCCCAGAUGGGAUUAGCUAGUUGGUGGGGUAACGGCUCACCUAGGCGACGAUCCCUAGCUGGUCUGAGAGGAUGACCAGCGACACUGGAACUGAGCCACGGGCCAGACUCCUACGGGAGGCAGCAGUGGGGAAUAUUGCACAAUGGGCGCAAGCCUGAUGCAGCCAGGCCGCGUGUAUGAAGAAGGCCUUAGGGUUGUAAAGUACUUUCAGCGGGGAGGCGUUACCCGCAGAAGAAGCACCGGCUAACUCCGUGCCAGCAGCCGCGGUAAUAC
rnacentral:rRNA from 1 species